UACGUAGGGUGCAAGCGUUGUCCGGAAUUAUUGGGCGUAAAGGGCUCGUAGGCGGUUUGUCGCGUCGGGAGUGAAAACUCAGGGCUUAACCCUGAGCCUGCUCCCGAUACGGGCAGACUAGAGGUAUGCAGGGGAGAACGGAAUUCCUGGUGUAGCGGUGAAAUGCGCAGAUAUCAGGAGGAACACCGGUGGCGAAGGCGGUUCUCUGGGCAUUACCUGACGCUGAGGAGCGAAAGUGUGGGGAGCGAACAGG
rnacentral:rRNA from 1 species